UUGUUGGAUUCGUCAAAGAAAUUUCUUAGUGCAGAGGAGCAUUAGUUUUUUCAGUUGAAGAAUAUACUCAUGGCACUUAUUAUUUAAUUUACUUGCUAGAGCUUAAGAUGUGCAGCACAACAUUAAUUUUGCGGUAAAAGAUUUCUAUGUAUCACUGAUUUUACACAUAUUUCAUUAACUUAGCACAUAAUGUUUCACUUUUCUCAUUUAAAUAUUGU
rnacentral:lncRNA from 1 species